AGGUAUGUAAAAUGAGGGCAGUUUUAUACAUUGGUUUUAAACGUUGCGUGACAAGGAAACUCGUGUUUUGGAGUCUUUACUUGGUUUAGCAACAGAACUUUAAUUAAUGUACCAACUAACUGAUAUAUUCUUUCUACAUGGUGGGUUAGAUUAUCACCUCUUCCCAACCUUGAGGAACAGAGAAGAGAUAAGGGAUGAUAGGGCUCCAACCAACGCCGUGCCCUCCGGACUUCUCAUCUGGUCUGCGGUACGUCCUCCAACCUGUCUAAGCAUACACUUAUCCAAUGCAGGAGACCAUAUAGGCAUAUACACUUUAUAGAGCAAAACGCAAAUGUAGUUUGAAGGUUUCCAAUUCUCAGUGAGUUUAAUACAUGCAGGGAUUGACGGAUACCAACCUUGUUCAUCUGGUUCAGACAGACCAGGAAC
rnacentral:lncRNA from 1 species